UCCAGCCCCUGACCGGUAGGUUCAAACGGAGAGAAUCAGUCCUUGGUAUUGUGAUUGUGAGCCAUUUAAGGCUGGCAGGCAGCAAAACUGAACAAUUAGAGCAGCAAGUGGGUGGAUUCUGCAUUUCUUCCUCCAGCACGACAUACACAGCCCUUUCCAAAAACUCCUCUAUGGCUAGAGAAACUGCCUGGCCAGGAGGUGGCAAAGGAGCCCGGCCCCUGGCACUCCUCCCUGCUUUUCAAAUGCCCCUGCCUACAAGAAAAUGUCUCCUGCUCCUUUUUGUUAAGCCCUUCCAUGGGCAGCAAAGCAAAGAGAAGGCAAAUGGCAAUGAUACCUUUUAGGUCGCCCACUUUUUCAAAAGGCAGCCCAAGCAGGGGAAGUGAAAUGGCCUCAACAUUCUUUUCCCACCCUUUUGGAUGAUGCAAAAGGAUGCCCAGGCAGCUUCCAAGAGAGUUGCCACUCCUGCAAAUCUUAGGAAGGAAAAGCAAAGAAGCUGUGAUCCUACUUAUGCUAAUGUACACCAGAACUGCAACAUGAUGGAGCCAGACUCGUCAGCGUAAUCUCUGGCCCCAUAUUUGCAUACGUUUGGGAGGCAGAUUCCCUGGAGUCACUUGCAAGGAACAGCCCCUGGAGAAGCAGCUGUGUCUUACCUGGAAGAAUUUGUUCAUCGAAAAGCCAGGAUGAAAUCUGUUUACACUGGAGUUGACCACUGACAGCCUCAUAGCC